rnacentral:rRNA from 1 species
AACGAACGCUGGCGGCAGGCCUAACACAUGCAAGUCGAACGCAUCCUUCGGGGUGAGUGGCAGACGGGUGAGUAACGCGUGGGAACCUACCUUUAGGUCUGGAAUAACUGAGGGAAACUUCAGCUAAUACCGGAUGGACCCGAGAGGGUAAAGAUUUAUCGCCUGAAGAUGGGCCCGCGCAGGAUUAGCUAGAUGGUGGGGUAAUGGCCUACCAAGGCGACGAUCCUUAGCUGGUCUGAGAGGAUGAUCAGCCACACUGGGACUGAGACACGGCCCAGACUCCUACGGGAGGCAGCAGUGGGGAAUAUUGGACAAUGGGCGCAAGCCUGAUCCAGCCAUGCCGCGUGUGUGAUGAAGGCCUUAGGGUUGUAAAGCACUUUCGCACGUGACGAUAAUGACGGUAGCGUGAGAAGAAGCCCCGGCUAACUUCGUGCCAGCCGCCGCAGUAAUAC